rnacentral:lncRNA from 1 species
CAACAACAGAGGAACCAAAAUCUUUAGGAAACCUUUAUUCCUUCCAAGACCUUGGUGCCGUUAAAUUUGUAGACUCUCUCCACAAAUCACAACCACCAUUGUCUUGCUGUCACACUCCUCAUUUGUCCGUCGACUCCGACUCCUCUUUGUCGAGGUGCCCACUCAACCAAGGAACCCCCAAAGAAACCCAGAAGAUUGAGCCCUAACUCCAUCUCGUUCUAUUAGAACUCCCAUUUUCCUUAAUGGCAGCAACAAGAUCUCUAUUAGGUAAAGUUCUAUUUUGUUUUGGUGUUGGAAUCUCAUUUAUUGCUUUUUUUUUUUUUGGAAGGGAGAUGAGGAUCUUGGAUAAGCAUUUUGAUAACCUUGAUCUAGCACACGAGCUUAAGUUUUUGCUCGAUCUUUGGUUUGCAGUGUUAAUCUUUUGUUUGAUAUUUGCUUUUUGUAUAUUUGUUUCUCAUUUUCUUCAUAACCGAGCUUUAAUCUCAAAUGCCUAGUAUAAUUAGUGCUUAUGAAUCUAACUACCUUUUAUUUUUUUUUUGUUGUAAAAUUUAACCGAUCCAAUGUUUCAACUUCCGUUGAAAAUAAAGUUUUCAUCUGUUAUUUUUUCAUUUGCUUUGGUAUGACACAUAUGGGUGUUGAUUAUAUAUUAUUGUGGAAUUAUAUUUUUAUUUUCAUUUUCAUUUUCACAAUUGGAUACAAAGGCUUAUUUUGAUCUUCUUGCAAGUCGGAGAGAACAUGAGGAACCAAAAGAUGCAACAAAGGGCAGAGAUGUGUUUAAUGAAAAGCCACCUACUGAACUCUUGGCUAUAUUAGAUAUAGGAAGAACUGUGACAUCUCUUCCAGAUAAUAUCGUUAGUGGUUUUCCUCUAAGUGAUUUUAUUGCAUUUGAAUUUCCAAUCGGCCUACAAAUUCAUAUAGAAUCGGAAAGAGAUUUUUUUUUUUAAUUUCUAAUUUCUAGAAAGAGGAAAUACCAUGAAAUAAAGCAGAAUGACCUAUGGAAGUGGCGCAAAAGGCUCAAAUUUUGUAGCUUUAUGUUCUAAGUAUAGGUUCAUUUAGAGUGGGUGAAGUGUACAAAAUGAGAAAAUAAAGUUAAAUGUUGUUGGAUUCCUUCUUCGAUUUUCUCUCUAUAGUUUAUUGGGUUAUUGUCUUCUUUAACUUCCUCUGUAAUCUUCAGGCUAACCUUAUGAAAGGAAUUAUCAUUUACAAGUAUUGUACAUGAUAUAAAUUUGUAUAGACUAUUUUUUCUUUAUUUAUAUUAUUCCGAAAGUCGACUGUAAACUGCAUCAAACUUUAUGAACAAAGAUUUAUACUUUGGAAUUGAAAUAACAUACUUUGAAACUUUUGUUGAAAUUUUAUCUUUCGGUUUUUCAAUGUUAUAUGAAGUUAUUGUGAUUUUCUUUUUCUAAGCCACUAUUAAGAUGUGUUAUGAAUGAGAAAGAUAUUGUUCAAAUGUAAAUUUCGUUUUUGUUAGAUAGAAAUUUGGGUAUAUAGGCUGUUACAGUAAAAGAGGAAGGGUAAAAUAAAAAACUUGCUAACUUAUGUAUUGUAAAAAUUUUAUGGAAGUUCUUAAAGCUUUAGGAUGUUAAGGAUUGUAGUAGAUCGAGACACAAAAGUUUGGUUGAGUAGGUUAGGUUGUUUGAAAUGUGACUUGCUUAAUGUUUUGGACUUUUGAAGGAGAUGAUUCAUAAUACUGAUGUAAGCUUAUUUCGUUGGCCCUAGCACAUUUUCACUACUACUUUCAUAUCACUUAAAACACUUGUCAUGUUGCUAAUAAUGCCACACCUUUCAGUUUUGUCAUGGCAUCAGUGAAGUAGGGGCAUUUUUUGAGCGAUUGAAAAGAGAGCUUCAAGCUUUGGAAACGGAAAAUGUGCAUGUAAUUUUUGAGAACGAGCAUUGGUUAAUGAGGUAACUUUGGAUUUUAAGCAUUAACAUCGAGGUGAUGUUAUUGUGAUCCAAUAAGAUAUUUUUGUUAAUUGAUAAUUUUUGGCUUAUGAGAGUAUUCCCCUGUUUCAUUUUUUUCUCAUGGUUUUGUUAUUGUGUUGAAAUAUUAAUUUUGAGGAUGUGUAUGUUGGCUGAACCACCUUCAAAAUUUGUUUGGUUUAUAAAAAACUAAGUCAUUUGCAACAUUGAAAAUAAAUUUUAUAUGAAUACGAACUGUUCUAUGGGCUAUAUUUUAGAUAUUGAACAAUAUUUUUUCCCCCUAUGAAUGGACAAUUGGACUUCAUUUUUUAUGAUGAUUGCAUUUUGUUUGAAUUUCUUUCCUUUCAAGUUGACAGUAACGUGAGCCCUGAAUGACUUAUUUAGGGAUCGUGCAUGUACUACAGGACCUUCAGAUUGCUACUAAUUGUGUUGAGGACAUGGAUGAAUGGUUAGGCAUUUUCAAUGUAAAACUUCAACAUAUGAGAGAGGACAUAAAAUCGG